CCUGUCCACUAGAGGCAUUACAGUGCAGCUACCAUGUCCCAUGUGCAUCAGUAGAUGGCAGAGAGGAGAGAGGGUUUGUCUAUCUAUGUUCAGUGUUGUGAACUAUGACUAUCUAAAUGAAUAGUAGCCUAACAUU